UCCUCACUGAGGGUGCCAGCUGUUGGUGGG
rnacentral:piRNA from 1 species